rnacentral:sRNA from 1 species
GUCAGGCAUGGUGGUGCAUGCCUGUAAUCCCAGUGACUCAGGAGGCUGAUACAGGAGGACUGCAAAUUCAAGGCCAGUCUCAGCAACUUAGUGAGGCCUUGAGCAACCUAGUGAGACCCUUUCUCAA